UAAUGUUACUUACCCUACAUUAUUCAUCUCAUAUGCAUACGUAGAUACUGUACUCUAUAUCAUCGACUGCAUCCUUAUGUAAUACAUGUAUCACUAGCCACUUUAACUACGCCACUUGGUUUACAUACUCAUCUCAUAUGUAUAUACUGUACUCGAUAUCAUCUACUGUAUCUUGCCUAUGCUGCUCUGUACCAUCACUCAUUCAUAUAUCCUUAUGUACAUAUUCUUUAUCCCCUUACACUGUGUAUGAGACAGUUUUUUUGGAAUUGUUAGUUAGAUUACUUGUUGGUUAUUACUGCAUUGUCGGAACUAGAAGCACAAGCAUUUCGCUACACUCGCAUUAACAUCUGCUAACCAUGUGUAUGUGACAAAUAAAAUUUGAUUUGAUUUGAUUUGAACACAACAUAUAAUUAGUGAGCAUUUCUCCUUUGCCAAGAUAAUCCAUCCACCAGACAGGUGUGGCAUAUGGAGUAUUUCUGUCUGUAAUAAAGCAAUUUUUGGGGGGAAAAACUCAUUAUGGAUUGGCUGGGCAUGGCUCCCCAGUGGCUGGGCCUGGCUCCCCAGUGGGUGGGCCUAUGCCCCCCCAAGGCCCACCCAUGGCUUCACCCCUGCCCAGUUAAAUGAAAUCCAAAGAUUAGGGCCUUCAUUUCCAUUGACAAUAUUCCUUCCAUGAACUGUAACUCAGUAAAAUAUUUGAAAUGGUUGCGUUUAUAUGAUGAUGCGUUCACAUUUUAGUUCAGUGUACAGAGACAUAGAUAUAGGUAGAGUAGAUUCACAGGUUAUGAUGAAGACAUAGAUAUAGGUAGAGUAGAUUCACAGGUUAUGAUGAAGACAUAGAUAUAGGUAGAGUAGAUUCACAGGUUAUGAUGAAGACAUAGAUAUAGGUAGAGUAGAUUCACAGGUUAUGAUGAAGACAUAGAUAUAGGUAGAGUAGAUUCACAGGUUAUGAUGAAGACAGAGGGGGUAGAGUAGAUUCAUAGGUUAUGAUGAAGACAUAGGGGGUAGAGUAGAUUCACAGGUUAUGAUGAAGACGUGUAGAUUCACUGGUUAUGAUGAUGAAGAUGAGUAGAGCGUACAGAGACCGGUGGAAAGGUAUGGAUUGCAGUUUUGGGGUCACGAUUCGGUUUUGGUAUAGGGGGAAAAUGAACAGUUUGGCUUCGGCAGUUAACUUCUGUUAACGAAAUAAGAUACACGUUGGUACUUCUGAUUCCAUAUCCACCAUAACAGGCCUGAUGAGAGCACCAUCUUCUGAAAUGAAAACACCACGACUCAUCAACACUAGGAGAAAGUGACAUGUGCAAUCAAUAUGGAAACAUGGCUCAGACAUGGAAAAGACCUGUUUUCUUACGAAGACAAACAUAUGCGCACUUGUGUGACUCAAAGGGGGUGUGUCUAUGGCACUGUAGUUCUUUCCCAGUCCGGGGUCAUGUGAUGGGCUGUCACUUAACAGUCCGGGGUCAUGUGAUUGGCUGUCACUUAAUAGUCCGGGGUCAUGUGAUGGGCCGUCACUGUGAAGUAACUGUGUAACCCUGGAGAUCCAUCCAUCUGUAGGCAGCCCAACACAGGCUGGAUUGGCCAAUUCAUUGUCAACUUCAGCUUUAACUAGCUUAUAUAUGGGUAGCCUGUAUACUGAAAUGAGUGAGAGAGUGAAGAGCCUAAUGUGGCUAGAACACUUUCACAAAGUGCAGAAACGCUCUAACCCCGACAUCCUGACCCCUAA
ensembl:lncRNA